rnacentral:rRNA from 1 species
AGAGUUUGAUCCUGGCUCAGAUUGAACGCUGGCGGCAGGCUUAACACAUGCAAGUCGAGCGGAGAUGAGGUGCUUGCACCUUAUCUUAGCGGCGGACGGGUGAGUAAUGCUUAGGAAUCUGCCUAUUAGUGGGGGACAACAUUCCGAAAGGAAUGCUAAUACCGCAUACGUCCUACGGGAGAAAGCAGGGGAUCUUCGGACCUUGCGCUAAUAGAUGAGCCUAAGUCGGAUUAGCUAGUUGGUGGGGUAAAGGCCUACCAAGGCGACGAUCUGUAGCGGGUCUGAGAGGAUGAUCCGCCACACUGGGACUGAGACACGGCCCAGACUCCUACGGGAGGCAGCAGUGGGGAAUAUUGGACAAUGGGGGGAACCCUGAUCCAGCCAUGCCGCGUGUGUGAAGAAGGCCUUAUGGUUGUAAAGCACUUUAAGCGAGGAGGAGGCUACUGAGACUAAUACUCUUGGAUAGUGGACGUUACUCGCAGAAUAAGCACCGGCUAACUCUGUGCCAGCAGCCGCGGUAAUACAGAGGGUGCGAGCGUUAAUCGGAUUUACUGGGCGUAAAGCGUGCGUAGGCGGCUUUUUAAGUCGGAUGUGAAAUCCCCGAGCUUAACUUGGGAAUUGCAUUCGAUACUGGGAAGCUAGAGUAUGGGAGAGGAUGGUAGAAUUCCAGGUGUAGCGGUGAAAUGCGUAGAGAUCUGGAGGAAUACCGAUGGCGAAGGCAGCCAUCUGGCCUAAUACUGACGCUGAGGUACGAAAGCAUGGGGAGCAAACAGGAUUAGAUACCCCGGUAGUCCAA